rnacentral:rRNA from 2 species
CCUAAUACAUGCAAGUCGAGCGAGCGGAACUAACAGAUUUACUUCGGUAAUGACGUUAGGAAAGCGAGCGGCGGAUGGGUGAGUAACACGUGGGGAACCUGCCCCAUAGUCUGGGAUACCACUUGGAAACAGGUGCUAAUACCGGAUAAGAAAGCAGAUCGCAUGAUCAGCUUUUAAAAGGCGGCGUAAGCUGUCGCUAUGGGAUGGCCCCGCGGUGCAUUAGCUAGUUGGUAAGGUAAAGGCUUACCAAGGCGAUGAUGCAUAGCCGAGUUGAGAGACUGAUCGGCCACAUUGGGACUGAGACACGGCCCAAACUCCUACGGGAGGCAGCAGUAGGGAAUCUUCCACAAUGGACGCAAGUCUGAUGGAGCAACGCCGCGUGAGUGAAGAAGGUUUUCGGAUCGUAAAGCUCUGUUGUUAGAGAAGAACACGAGUGAGAGUAACUGUUCAUUCGAUGACGGUAUCUAACCAGCAAGUCACGGCUAACUACGUGCC